GACGAACGCUGGCGGCGUGCUUAACACAUGCAAGUCGAACGCUGAAGACCUGGCUUUUGUUGGGUUGGAUGAGUGGCGAACGGGUGAGUAACACGUGAGUAACCUGCCCUCUUCUUUGGGAUAACGCCCGGAAACGGGUGCUAAUACUGGAUAUUCACUGAUCUUCGCAUGGGGGUUGGUGGAAAGGUUUGUUCUGGUGGGGGAUGGGCUCGCGGCCUAUCCGCUUGUUGGUGGGGUGAUGGCCUACCAAGGCUUUGACGGGUAGCCGGCCUGAGAGGGUGACCGGUCACAUUGGGACUGAGAUACGGCCCAGACUCCUACGGGAGGCAGCAGUGGGGAAUAUUGCACAAUGGGCGAAAGCCUGAUGCAGCGACGCCGCGUGAGGGAUGGAGGCCUUCGGGUUGUAAACCUCUUUCGCUCAUGGUCAAGCCGCAACUGUGGGUUGUGGUGAGGGUAGUGGGUAAAGAAGCGCCGGCUAACUACGUG
rnacentral:rRNA from 1 species